UACGUAGGGUGCAAGCGUUGUCCGGAAUUAUUGGGCGUAAAGGGCUCGUAGGCGGUCCAUCGCGUCGGGAGUGAAAAGCUGGGGCUUAACCCCAGUCCUGCUUCCGAUACGGGCAGGCUAGAGUUCGGUAGGGGAGAUCGGAAUUCCUGGUGUAGCGGUGAAAUGACGCAGAUAUCAGGAGGAACACCGGUGGCGAAGGCGGAUCUCUGGGCCGAUACUGACGCUGAGGAGCGAAAGCGUGGGGAGCGAACAGG
rnacentral:rRNA from 1 species